rnacentral:rRNA from 1 species
UUAGCAUAUCAAUAAGCGGAGGAAAAGAAACUAACAAGGAUUCCCCCAGUAACGGCGAGCGAAGUGGGAAGAGCUCGAGCCUUGAAUCUCUGGCAGGUGUUGCCAGCGAGUUGUGGCCUGUAGAGGGUCGCUUUGUCCAGCGUUUGCGGCGUCGAGGUUGACCUGGAAGGGCACGUCGUAGAGGGUGAGAGCCCCGUGCGCGGCCUCGCGGACCUGGGCAACGGUGGCCGUCGAAGAGUCGGGUUGUUUGGGAAUGCAGCCCAAAUGCGGUGGUAAACUCCACCUAAAGCUAAAUACCGGCGCGAGACCGAUAGCGAACAAGUACCAUGAGGGAAAGGUGAAAAGCACUUUGAAAAGAGAGUCAAAGAGACCGCGAAACCGUUGGGAGGGAAACGAACGUGGCCGUGAAGACUCCCUUCGGGUUCAGGGAGCUCGGGUGUGGGGCGUUGCGAGGCGAGAGACCCAAUCGGGCUCCGUCGCUGCAAGUCCCUCCGGGCUUCCGCAUUCCCGUCUGGAGUCCGCCAACGGCGGGCGUUCGCGGUCGAAGAGGGCUGGAGGGAGGUGCCUCCUCGUCGUUCGCGGCGAGGAGAACGUACAGCCUCCGGUCCGGCGGGACCGCGAGCGGCCGAGGUGAGUUGCGACCUUUCGCACGGCGUAGCGCAGGCUCCGCAGGGGCCGGGUCGCUGCUGCUCUUGCGUGCUCCGCGUCGAGCCACUGCCCGCAGUGACCGGCGACGGCCAGCGCUCUUGGGCGGCAGGCGGACCACGAUUUGCGCUUCGGUCGUUGGCGUGCGUACGGCUCCCUCCGACCCGUCUU